rnacentral:rRNA from 1 species
GGACUACAGGGGUUUCUAAUCCCGUUCGCUCCCCUGGCUUUCGCGCCUCAGCGUCAGAAAAGGUCCAGCACGUCGCUUUCGCCACCGGCGUUCCUUCCGAUAUCUACGCAUUUCACCGCUCCACCGGAAGUUCCACAUGCCCCUACCUCCCUCGAGGCGACCAGUAUCAGAGGCACUUUUCCGGUUGGGCCGAAAGAUUUCACCCCUGACUUGGUCACCCGCCUACGCGCCCUUUAAGCCCAGUGAAUCCGAACAACGUUCGCACGGUUCGUCUUACCGCGGCUGCUGGCAC